GGGGGGGGGAGGGGUGCUGGUGGCGUGGGUGGCCACGGCUGGCUCCUGACUGAGCUCUCCCUCAGCCUCGCUGAGAUGGGGCAGAGCUUUGUGUGCAAAUAGCGUCGGGGUGUGUGCUCCCUGAGCACAAGCUCUGGGCCUUCAGGGAGGAAAAGGCCAGCUGGUGAUGUGGACCGGGCCCAAGAGAUGGGUCUGUGUUCUCAGUCAGGAGCCUGUAGGCCACCCGGCCCUUCUCAGACUUGGCUGUGCCUCUGACUGUGACCCCAGGGAGAGAGGUCUUCGAUCGCUGGGGAACAGAAGAAAGAGGGACCUUCUUCUUCCUUACCAUCGCUCCAGAAAUAUGCUCACUCCCCUCGCUCAUCUGAGACAGUCACAGACGACUGAUGGGGUCCCCGACCGACCUUCAAAAUGAAGGAGUUUGCCGUUCGUGGAGGGCUUCUGUCAGACUCCAGCUAGAGACAUUCCACGAGCCCAGAGCGUUCUGAGCAAACCCACAAUGUAAGGCUUCAUUUCCCACACUUUCCUUAUCUUGCCUCAAAGACAUUUCCAUUUUCUCAAUAUUCCAUCCCCAAGAUGUGGUAAUGUUGCUGGUGUUCUAUGUUGGGAAAUGUGUCCCUGGGACCAACUGUGGUGCUAUAAAGAAAAUGAUAGUUUUCCUUCUAAAUGAUUUUAUAUUUACACUAAAGGAUAAAUACAUAAGAUGCACUGAAACCCUCAAGUGAUUGAAAAUAAAUAUAUGGGGGCAUCUGGGUGGCUCAGUCAGUUGAGCGUCCGACUUUGGCUCAGGUCAUGAUCUCACCGUCUGUGAGUUCGAGCCCCGCGUCGGGCUCUGUGCUGACAGCUCAGAGCCUGGAGCCUGCUUCGGAUUCGGUAUCUCCCUCUCUCUCUGCCCCUCCCACACUCAUGUUCUCUUUCUCUCUCCCUCUCCCUCUCUCUCUCUCUCUCUCUCUCUCUUUCUCUCUCUCUCUCAGAAAUAAAGAUUUUUUAAAAAAUUAAAAAAAUAAAUAUAUGUAUUUACUUAAUUCAGUGAUUAAAUAAAUUAAUGUAUUUACUUAAUUGGAGACUGCACCAGGGCCGAAGCACAAAGAGAAAACGUGCAUUAAAAUACAUGGAGGGAGAAUGGCCGUCCAUGCAUUUACCAUUCAGCUGAUAUUGAUCACCUACUACAUGGCUGAUGCUGCUCAGGGCCCUGGGAGGAGGGAGAGGAGAAUUCAGACUUUGCCUUCAUUUCAGGGCCAGUAAAUAAAGGACAUAUGCAUGGAGAUGUUGAUUGUGGCAAAAAAAAAAAAAAAGUGAGGACCCAUCAAGACGGAAAGUUUGAAAAAAGAUUGGUUCCACUUACGGGUCAUGGAACGAUCUGCAGCCCAUCAGAGGCAUGCUUCAGAUCUAUAAGGGCCAACAGGGUGGGAUUUCUGCGAUUCGUUAAUCAGUGGGAUGAGCAAGAUGCCUCGUGCAUGUCGUGUCUCCAGAGUUUACAUCUGCGCGCACUCGGCUGUCGAGAAUCGUGGGCACGGCGAACGACGUGCUGAGACACGUUGCAAGUUACCACGUAGAUCACUCAGAACAUGCGGUUAUGUGUUCAAGAACAAAGGUGUGCAGAGACACAGAGUGGGUCAUCACGUAUUUGUACAACAGCGCACGUGUUCAGGAAAAGCACCUGACUUCGAAAAUUUAGUAAACUAAAUCGGCCUGACCUCCAAACCAGGAUUGGCAGAAACAUGGUGACAGUGGGUCCCUGGAGUUCAGGGGAAUGGUCAUGCCCAAGGGUCUGGGUUUUAUCCUGGAAGGCCAGGAGACCGUGCCUUUUGAGCCCAGGAGGAUGAAGGUAGACUCAGGACACCAACGGAGAGUUUGAGAACAUGCACCGCCCCCCCAUCGCCUCUUUUUUAGUAGACUUUAUUUUUUAGGGAAGUUUCGCUUUCACAGCAAAAUUGAGUGGAAAGUGAAGAGAUUUCUUAUGUACCCCCUACUCCACACACACAAGUCUUCUAUCAACGUCUGGCACCAGAGAGGCACACAGACACCCCAUUACGUCUCCAAGUCCAUGGUUUACAUUAGGGUUCACUCUCGAUGACAUCCAUUCUGUGGAUUUUGACAAAUGCACAUGACACAUGUCCAUCAUUUUAGCGUCCUGCGGAAUAGUCGCACUGCCCUAAAAAUCCCCUGUGGGCCACCAAUUCAUCCCUCCCUCUCUCCUCAUCUCUGGCAACCGCUAAUAUUUUUUCACUGUCUUCAUGGCUUUGCCUUUGACUUCUGUCUUCAUUAACGUUUGCCAGAACGUUAUGUAGUUGGAAUCGUACACGUAUGUAGCCUUUUCAAAUUGGCUUCUUUCGCUCGGCACGGGCGUGGGGUCUUUCGUGUCUUGGCUUGGUAGUACCACACUUGGGUUUAGUGCUGGAUGACAGUUCAUUGUCUGGACGCCUCGCAGUUUACUCAUCCAUCCCCCUAGCAGAGGGCUUCUUGGUUGCUUCGACGUUUUGGCAAAAUUAUGGAUAAACAUUCGUAUGCAGUUGUCCGUGUCAGCGUUACGUUUUCGACUCAUUGCGGUAAACGCCAAGGAGCGCGAUUCCUGGAUCGUAUGAUAAAAUUACGGUUUCUGUGAGAAAAUGUCAGACCGUCUUGCAAAGUGGCUGCACCAUUUUGCAUUCGCAGCAACGAACGGAAGUGUCUGUUGCCUCACAUCCUUGCCAGCAUUUGGUGUUGUCAGUGUUCUGGAUUUGGGCCCUUGUACCGGGUGGGUGGUGAGAUCUCUCCAUUUUAAUUUGCAUUUUCCUGAUGACAUCUGUGUGCACCGUCUUCUCUCCUGCUGAUCUGUCACCUGUAUACUUCCUCAGGGCGUGGCCAUUUGGGUCUUUUGCUCAUUUUCUUUAAGGAUUGGAAGUUAUUAUUUUUAUUUUAAGUUUAUUUAUUUUGAGAGAGACAGAGAGGGGUGGGGAGAGGGAGAGAGAGAGAGAGAGAAAGAGAGAAAGAGAGAGAAUCCCAAGGAGGAUCCUCACUAUCAGCAUGGAGCCCAACAUGGGGCUCGAACACAUGAACCGUGAGAUCAUGACCCAAGAUGAAAUCAAGAGUCAGACACUCGGGGCUCUUGGGUGGCUCAGUUGGUUAAGCGUUUGCAGUUAAGCGUCAGACUUCAUCAUGAUCUCUCAGUUUGUGAGUUCGAGCCCUGCAUUGGGCUCUGUACUGACAGCUUAGGGCCUGGAGCCUGCUUCAGUUUCUGUGUCUCCCUCUCUCUCUGCCCCUCCCCUGCUCAUGCCCUGUCUGUCUCUGUCUCUGUCUCUCUC